AGUACCCUGCUGUAAAAAAGGGGGAAAGAGGGGGAGAGGUUACACCACUGCGGUGUAAUUCCAAAAAUUAUAAUCAAUUUCUAUAAUUACACUACAAUUUCUAUAAUCUCAUCAAAAGCACCUAAUACUCUAAGUCUCCUAAAAAAAUAAUCUAACUUAAUGGAAAAGUCGUUGAACAGGGCUGCAGGUAGGUCACGGGGUCGUGGAGUGCAGCAGCCUGAAGCUCGUGCAGCGAUGAGGGCGCUGUGUCCGCUCAUUGGUCAGUCCUCACAUGCCGCGGUAGAAAAGGGGCCGGCCGAAGUCGCACAAGCUCCAUAGAAAAAGUCGGGAGUGACAGAAAGGCCAGAGCCGCUGACAGCUUCAGCGCACUCGGACGAGGAAGGAGUCGAGAAGCCCCCACCCUUCCAGUUGCCAUCUUAAAGCGCGCUGUACUUUCUCAGCUGUACGUCAUUCACCGUUUUCGGCUCGUGCUGGAUUUUGCUCUCGUCUCAAAACUCGAAACGAGACUCGACCGAGCGGCGCCUCAGAGUGCCCGGGCAAAGUUGGAGACUUUCUGACAAAAAAAACAGUGAAGAAGACAAAGAACAUGGCGAGGGUCAGUCGAACAGAGAACGGCAUCUUUUUUCGCCACUCCAGACAACCAGACAAGACCCGGAGUCGGUGUGGUAACGACGCCGUGUCCUCGUACAGACAGACUGCAGAGGAAGCGGCUGUAGCGGCGACUGAGGGAAAGUUAGCAUAAAGUUCAGACCGCGAUGUGCCGAGGAAUGCUGCCCUGCUCCGGCGACCUGUGAUGUAUUUCCUCUGCAAGCAAAUGGUGGCAAGAGGAACUGGAGGGAGGUUUGUACUGUGGACAGAAGAGAGGAAAGCAUGGCGGCGUAAGGUACAGCUAAGGGCCGUCAGUACUGUUAUUGAAUUUUCAAUGUUAGAACAAUUUUAUACAGUAGCAACCCAGAAUUUAGCUAAAACCAUUUUAUCAGUUUCAGUUUGUAAAUUCCUGUAAAACAGCAGACAUUGGCAUUCCCAGUGUAAUUUCCAACAUUGUUUCCUGCUGAAUAGUGUACAUGUAAUUUGUAUUGGAAAAAAAAGAAUCAAGAGUGAAGUUAAAUCCUGGCAACUCAGAUACAUCAAGGCAGCCUUAAACUAUUUGAGUAAAGCCAACAUCAACCAAAAUGUUCAGUAUGUUUAUACCAUGUUUAGUGUAGAAUGUCUGUGAUUACAUUUACAUUAUCUCCUACAGUAUAGACCAGAUCUAUGUAUUCGUAAUACAGGAAUGUACAGGUUUAAAUCUUUUAAGUAAAGAAAAUACUGGGGGCUUACAGUGGGCAAAUUAGUACUUUGUAUAUAAUGCCAAAGUUUGGGAUUUUUAGCAUUAAUAGCACAAUAACCAGGAGACUAUAUACCAUGAAAGUGGGAUACUUGUAGCGUACAAUAUGUGUGAUAAAUGUUAUGUUUUUGAUGUGAUGUAAAGAUCUUUAUUUGCUUAAUAAACUCUUUAUUAAUAUUUCAACA